GGAGGGGGCAGAGGAAAAAGGCGUUCACCUUGAGUAACUUUGGAAAUGAGUGGAGUCUGCAAGCCUAAAGGCAGUAGAGAUGGCACCUGAGCACUGGACUCCAGCUGAUUGUUUCCUAUAGGGGUACAGGACCAGAAGAUUCAAACAUAGUAAACUGAGACAGAGAAGGAGAGAUAGAAGCUCUACGUGAGACACAGAAUGAUGGAUGGAUCAGGAGCCAGGGGCAGAGUGAAAGGGAUGGGACAUCGUUGACCUUGGCCUUGGAGAACAACACCUUGUCUCACUCUGAGUGGCUGGUCACGAAGAACACAAUGACCGACUAGUACAAUGUGAUACGCUGCCUGGAUUCGUGCUAACACAGGAGCAAUUUUACUCACCGUCGCUUUUGUGCCGUCACCGCAAAUGUCCGUGUAGUGGGC